CUGAAUGGCUGGGCAGGUUCCUGUGCAUACCAGCAGCAAUAUCAUGGAGGAGCCUUCUUCCCCAAAGUCAACUGUUGCCCUAAAGAGAAGGUGUCGGUAAGGAGACAUUCAAAAGACUAGGGAGGAGGAAGAGGAGGGUCGCUUUAUACCCAGAGUGGGCGGUACUUAGCUGCUGAAAAAAAACUACCUGUCUAAUUAUAGGAGGAUGGAAUACAAUCACCAGAGUAAUGGCUGCCAUGAAGUAUCUUGAAGAAAUGAAAUUAUCGAUUGAUCCUUCGGAUACGGACCAGGUCUUUAAGGAACUGGAUAAGAAUGGAGAUGGAGAAAUCUGCUUGAAGGAGUUUAACUAUAUGUAUAGAAAGUUUAUUGUGUAUUAUGAAAUGAAUGAGGACUAAAGUGUCUGAAGGCUCUGGCGACCGCUGGUGGGGUCAUCUGAAGCCACAACGGUGUCUGAAUAAACAGAGAAUUUAAACAUUUAA